UCAUUAGUUUUUUAAUUGAAAGCUUGUAUGAAUGGUUUGAUGAAAAAAUUACUGUCUCAAUUUUAAUAUUUAAAAUUUUAUUUUUAAGUUAAAAAGCUUAAAUAAUUUUAAAAGACGAGAAGACCCUAUAGAACUUUAUUAAUUUAAAUUAAUAAAUUUUAGAAUUUAAUAUUUUUUAAUUGAAAAUUAAUUUAAUUGGGGUGAUUGAAAAAUUAAAUAAACUUUUUUUUUAUUUUUACAUUAAUAAAUGAAUUUUUGAUCCAUUUAAAUGAUUAAAAGAUUAAGUUACCUUAGGGAUAACAGCGUAAUUUUUUUGAAGAGUUCUUAUCGAUAAAAAAGAUUGCGACCUCAAUGUUGGAUUAAAAUUUAGUUUUGGUGUAGAAGCUAAAA
rnacentral:rRNA from 1 species